rnacentral:rRNA from 1 species
UACGAAGGGGGCUAGCGUUUCUCGGAAUCACUGGGAGUAAAGGGCGCGUAGGCGGCUUGGUCAGUCAGGCGUGAAAUUCCUGGGCUUAACCUGGGGACUGCGCUUGAUACGGCCAGGCUUGAGGCCGAGAGAGGGUGGUGGAAUUCCCAGUGUAGAGGUGAAAUUCGUAGAUAUUGGGAAGAACACCGGUGGCGAAGGCGACCGCCUGGCUCGGUACUGACGCUGAGGCGCGACAGCGUGGGGAGCAAACAGG